AUACGUAGGGGGCAAGCGUUGUCCGGAAUGAUUGGGCGUAAAGGGAGCGUAGGCGGAUUUUUAAGUGAGAUGUGAAAUACUCGGGCUUAACCUGAGUGCUGCAUUUCAAACUGGAAGUCUAGAGUGCAGGAGAGGAAAGUGGAAUUCCUAGUGUAGCGGUGAAAUGCGUAGAUAUUAGGAGGAACACCAGUAGCGAAGGCGGCUUACUGGACUGCAACUGACGCUGAGGCACGAAAGCGUGGGGAUC
rnacentral:rRNA from 1 species